GACGAACGCUGGCGGCGUGCUUAACACAUGCAAGUCGAACGGAAAGGCCCUGCUUUUGUGGGGUGCUCGAGUGGCGAACGGGUGAGUAACACGUGAGUAACCUGCCCUUGACUUUGGGAUAACUUCAGGAAACUGGGGCUAAUACCGGAUAGGAGCUCCUGCUGCGUGGUGGGGGUUGGAAAGUUUCGGCGGUUGGGGAUGGACUCGCGGCUUAUCAGCUUGUUGGUGGGGUAGUGGCUUACCAAGGCUUUGACGGGUAGCCGGCCUGAGAGGGUGACCGGCCACAAUGGGACUGAGAUACGGCCCAGACUCCUACGGGAGGCAGCAGUGGGGAAUAUUGCACAAUGGGCGGAAGCCUGAUGCAGCAACGCCGCGUGCGGGAUGACGGCCUUCGGGUUGUGAACCGCUUUCGCCUGUGACGAAGCGGGAGUGACGGUAAUGGGUAAAGAAGCACCGGCUAACUACGUG
rnacentral:rRNA from 1 species